GACGAACCGUGCAAACGUUAUUCGGAAUCACUGGGCUUAAAGCGCGUGUAGGCGGUGCCGCACGUCCGGUGUGAAAGCCCAGGGCUCAACCCUGGAAGUGCACUGGAUACGACGGCGCUGGAGUCCUGAAGAGGAGGGCGGAAUUCCCGGUGUAGCGGUGGAAUGCGCAGAUAUCAGGAGGAACACCGGUGGCGAAGGCGGGUCUCUGGGCAGUAACUGACGCUGAGGAGCGAAAGCGUGGGGAGCGAACAGG
rnacentral:rRNA from 1 species